rnacentral:lncRNA from 1 species
UACCGGCCAGUCAGGAUCCUACUUCGUCAAAAUUAUCUCCCCAUUACGCCAGUUCAUUUUCACAAUCGUAAAAAUGGAAGCCAUUGUAGCGAUGACGCGCUACCAAUUUUGCUCUUGGAAACCGAUAAAUUUAUCCACAUUGCACCAAUACGAUCCUUAUAUGUCAGUUAUAUUUUAAAAGACAAAUGUAUCAACUAGCUAAUGAGCAUCAGUUAAUGAUCUUGUCUGUAUUGAUUCAACUUAAAACUAUUGUCUGAUCGGUUGUUAGGUGGAAUUUUCGAAAAAUCAUAAACAUUUAAAAAAAAUCUAAUUAAAUAUUUCGUGGAAGGGCAGACUAGAUUUUUUUAGUGGUUGAAGACUAUAAACCCUAGUUAUCACACACAAAAAAUUAGAAUUUUUCGAAGAUAUGCAUUUUCAUCAUCCAACUUGUAAGACUGUCGUCAAGUACUUUCAGUAAAAAAAUAGCUAUUCGAACACACCUUCCCUGUUUUUGUGACUCAUUAGAUAGGUAUUUCACUUGACCCAUAUAUUU